AAUCCUAUACAGACAGAAAGAAGUCGGUGACACUUCCUUUCUUGGUCGAGUUGGCAGAAAAUAAAAGUGGCAAAAGGACGAUUAAAGUGAACAUGGCCCCCAGUACGCAACUGAAUGAAGCAGUGUCCGACGUAAAAAAGGGAAUUCGGGCAAUCCUUCUCGGACCCCCUGGUGCUGGGAAAGGAACUCAGGCUCCUCGGUUGGCAGAGCAGUACUGCGUGUGUCAUCUGGCCACUGGGGACAUGCUGAGGGCCAUGGUGGCGUCUGGCUCUGAACUCGGCAAGAGGCUCAAGGAGACCAUGGAUACCGGGAAACUGGUCAGUGACGAGAUGGUGGUAGAACUCAUAGAAAAGAACCUGGACACGCCUCCCUGUAAGAAGGGGUUCCUAUUGGACGGAUUCCCCCGCACAGUGAAACAAGCAGAGAUGCUGGAUAACUUGCUGGAGAAGCGCACAGAGAAGCUAGACUCUGUAAUUGAGUUCUCCGUCGAUGACUCCCUACUGGUGCGGAGGAUCUGUGGCAGACUAAUUCACCAGCCUAGCGGUCGCUCCUACCACGAGGAGUUCAACCCACCCAAAGAGCCCAUGAAGGAUGACGUGACAGGGGAGCCGCUGAUGCGCCGCAGCGACGACAACGCGUCGACGCUGCGCUCGCGGCUGGAGGCCUACCACCGGCAGACGAUGCCCCUAGUCAAGUACUACAGCGCCCGCGGCCUGCACAAGGCCAUUGACGCCGCCCAGUCCCCCGACGUCGUCUUCGCCUCCAUCCUCGCCGCCUUUUCUUCGGCCACAGCCGCCACCCGUAAAGACCUGGUGCUCUUCGUCUAAGCUCCCUACCAUUUCUCCUCUUCAGUCUCUCCUUCACUCUCAGGACUCUGCUGUCUGAAUCCCUGCUUCUCCAAUCCUGGCAAUGGAAACAAGGGAGGGAGGGGAAGGAGGAAAUGUUGUACUUAAUUUUGAAAUGUUUCUGGAGGAUGAGCACGCAUAAUGCAGUGCAUUCUACCAGGAAUAAGUGGAGCCAUCUUGAAAUUGACUUUGAUUGUUACCCUUCUAAUAAAAAAAGAAGCUUUUCUACAAUCACGACAA